GAGUCUUCGGACUGCGGAAGAGUGGCGAACGGGUGAGGAACACGUAAGAAUCUGCCCCUCGGUCGGGGACAACUCUUGGAAACGAGAGCUAAUACCCGAUACGCUGUGGAGUGAAAGAAUUUCGCCGAGGGAUGAUCUUGCGUCUGAUUAGCUAGUUGGUGUGGUAACUGCACACCAAGGCGACGAUCAGUAGCUGGUCUGAGAGGAUGGACAGCCACAUUGGAACUGAGACACGGUCCAAACUCCUACGGGAGGCAGCAGUGGGGAAUUUUCCGCAAUGGACGAAAGUCUGACGGAGCGACGCUGCGUGAAGGAUGACGGCCCGCGGGUUGUAAACUUCUUUUCUCGAAGAAGAAACAAAUGACGGUAUUCGAGGAAUAAGCAUCGGCUAACUCCGUGCCAGCAGCCGCGGUAAGACGGAGGAUGCAAGUGUUAUUCGGAAUGAUUGGGCGUAAAGAGUCUGUAGGCUGUAUAGAAAGUCUUUUGUUAAAUUCCUCGGCUCAACC
rnacentral:rRNA from 1 species